rnacentral:rRNA from 1 species
CAGCCGCCGCGGGAAUACGAAGGGUGCAAGCGUUAAUCGGAAUUACUGGGCGUAAAGCGUGCGCAGGCGGUUAUGUAAGACAGUUGUGAAAUCCCCGGGCUCAACCUGGGAACUGCAUCUGUGACUGCAUAGCUAGAGUACGGUAGAGGGGGAUGGAAUUCCGCGUGUAGCAGUGAAAUGCGUAGAUAUGCGGAGGAACACCGAUGGCGAAGGCAAUCCCCUGGACCUGUACUGACGCUCAUGCACGAAAGCGUGGGGAGCAAACAGGAUUAGAUACCCCAGUAGUCCCUGUCUCUUAUAC